ensembl:ncRNA F46C8.10 ncRNA
GGAUAUAACGAACCUAACGGUAAUUCAAUGCUCAUCGCCAGAAGCUUGCAGGUGUGCGUCCUCCCCAUAAACUGCUAAAGGUACGGAUGAUGCGCGGAGGUGUGACCAACCAUUAAAAUAUCAAAUUUCCAGAAGAAUGAUGGUCCAGU